UACGUAGGGGGCAAGCGUUGUCCGGAUUUAUUGGGCGUAAAGAGCGUGUAGGCGGCUUGGUAGGUCCGCUGUGAAAACUCGAGGCUCGACCUCGAGAUGUCGGCGGAAACCACUUGGCUAGAGUCCGGAAGAGGAGAGUGGAAUUCCUGGUGUAGCGGUGAAAUGCGCAGAUAUCAGGAAGAACACCUAUGGCGAAGGCAGCUCUCUGGGACGGUACUGACGCUGAGACGCGAAAGCGUGGGGAGCGAACAGG
rnacentral:rRNA from 1 species